rnacentral:rRNA from 1 species
AUUGAACGCUGGCGGCAGGCCUAACACAUGCAAGUCGAACGGCAGCACAGAAGAGUUUGCUCUUUGGGUGGCGAGUGGCGGACGGGUGAGUAAUGUCUGGGAAACUGCCCGAUGGAGGGGGAUAACUACUGGAAACGGUAGCUAAUACCGCAUAACGUCGCAAGACCAAAGUGGGGGACCUUCGGGCCUCACACCAUCGGAUGUGCCCAGAUGGGAUUAGCUAGUAGGUGGGGUAAUGGCUCACCUAGGCGACGAUCCCUAGCGGGUCUGAGAGGAGAACCAGCCCCACUGGAACUGAGACACGGUCCAGACUCCUACGGGAGGCAGCAGUGGGGAAUAUUGCACAAUGGGCGCAAGCCUGAUGCAGCCAUGCCGCGUGUAUGAAGAAGGCCUUCGGGUUGUAAAGUACUUUCAGCGGGGAGGAAGGCGGUGAGGUUAAUAACCUUGCCGAUUGACGUUACCCGCAGAAGAAGCACCGGCUAACUCCGUGCCAGCCGCCGCCGUAACAC